CACGUAGGAGGCGAGCGUUGUCCGGAAUCAUUGGGCGUAAAGAGCUCGUAGGCGGCCGGUUGCGUCUGCUGUGAAAUCCCGGGGCUUAACCCCGGGCGUGCAGUGGAUACGGGCCGGCUGGAGGCAGGCAGGGGAGAAUGGAAUUCCCGGUGUAGCGGUGAAAUGCGCAGAUAUCGGGAGGAACACCGGUGGCGAAGGCGGUUCUCUGGGCCUGUACUGACGCUGAGGAGCGAAAGCGUGGGGAGCGAACAGG
rnacentral:rRNA from 1 species